UACCUGGUUGAUCCUGCCAGUAGUCAUAUGCUUGUCUCAAAGAUUAAGCCAUGCAUGUCUAAGUACAUGCCGAAACAAGGCGAAACCGCGAAUGGCUCAUUAAAUCAGUUAUGGUUCCUUAGAUCGUUUCUUCCUACUUGGAUAACUGUGGCAAUUCUAGAGCUAAUACAUGCAGUGAGCCCGA
rnacentral:ncRNA from 1 species